rnacentral:misc_RNA from 1 species
GAUGAAGAACGCAGCGAAAUGCGAUAAGUAAUGUGAAUUGCAGAAUUCAGUGAAUCAUCGAAUCUUUGAACGCACAUUGCGCCCGGUAGUAUUCUGGCGGGCAUGCCUGUUCGAGCGUCAUUUCAACCAUCAAGCCCCAGGCUUGUGUUGGGGACCUGCGGCUGCCGCAGGCCCUGAAAACCAGUGGCGGGCUCGCUGUCACACCGGGCGUAGUAGAUUUUAUCUCGCUCAGGGCGUGCUGCGGGUUCCGGCCGUUAAAAAGCCUUUUUUACCCAAGGUUGACCUCGGAUCAGGUAGGAAGACCCGCUGAACUUAAGCAUAUCAAUAAGCGGAGGA